AUGGGUGUGGCUCAGUGGUAGAGUGCUCGCCUAACAUGUGCAGGUGCUGGGUUCGAUCCUCAGCACCAUAUA
rnacentral:tRNA from 1 species